CUGGGCGAGUGUGUGCUUCUGUGUACGUACAUGUACGUGUGAAAGAAAGAGAUCUAAGGGAUGCUCAGACUCUGAAGAUGGUGACUUGAUGACUCCGCAAAAUUAUCACAAACCAUUCCUGACAACUAAGGGAGACCAGGGCUGGACGUCACACAAUUUCUACUCCAAAUAAAUUCCUCAAGCACUGAAGCAGAAGUUUACACAGUGCCAGGAUAAACUGAAACUCUUCUUCAGGUCAACAUUCCCUUAGAUAUGGAGAAGAAAUGUGAUUAUGAUACAAAUCAACGUAGUUAUCUGCAACCCGACACUCACAGAAACCCUCCGAGGUGCGUCCUCACUGCUCUGAGGGGGAAUUACAGGCUGGAUCCGUGAUGAUGUGCAGCGAGUCUGUAUAUAGCUACUGGGAAUUCUGCCACACCGUCUGGAUAAAAGACAAAAAAAAAAAAAAAAAAAAAAAAAAAAAAAAAAUGGAAACAGUCUGCCCAUUUGUUAUUGUUCAGACAACAAAACAGGUGGACAAACUGCUGUACAUUAGGAAAAUGUGCACUGUCCAAUUUACCUUUGUGAGUGAGUAUGGUCACACACGCACAGUUUCCCAUCAGAUCCUGCUGUGCCAACACAAUGGGGCUGGCAGGUCUCCAGGACAGCACAUCUGGCACUUGAGAAAGCAGCUACAGAAGGUGAUGGGUAUGACUCAGGAACACAGCCAACAGCACAGACUCACUACACCACUGAGAGAGAAGGGGGAGUAAAACUCAUAACAUACUUGAGGAUAAGGAUACACAGGCUGUGAUCUCUGCUGUAUAAGGAGGUAAUCAGAAAUGUAGUGCUGUAUUUUUGAAAUCAUAUACACACAAUGGCCUGUUUCACCUGCAUUCAUAGUCUGGCAUGCACUCCACUCCAUGAAUAUACAUAAUACAUGUGUG